rnacentral:rRNA from 1 species
UAUCUCUGUAGAGUCUGCAUAUCAAUAAGCGGAGGAAAAGAAGCUAACAAGGAUUCCCCUAGUAACGGCGAGUGAAGCGGGAAGAGCUCAAAUUUGAAAUCUUCAAGGUUUACCUUGACGAAUUGUAGUUUAAAGAAGUGUUUUCGGUUAGAGGAGUAGUAAAAGUUCUUUGGAAUAGGACAUCAUAGAGGGUGAGAAUCCCGUAUUUGACUAUUCUUUCUAGCUUUGUGAUACACUUUCAAAGAGUCGGAUUGUUUGGGAAUGCAGUCCAAAAUGGGUGGUAAAUUUCAUCUAAAGCUAAAUAUUGGCGAGAGACCGAUAGCGAACAAGUACCGUGAGGGAAAGAUGAAAAGAACUUUGAAAAGAGAGUUAAACAGUACGUGAAAUUGUCAAAAGGGAAGCGUUUGACACCAGUGUUGUUUUUCCGAAAAUCAAUUAAAAAUUGAUUCAUGCCAGGUUGUAUUGACCUUAUCAGCUUGCAAUUUGGUUUUGGGUCUCUUUUUGAUGCACUUUUCGGUUAACAAGUCAACAUCAAUUUCCUUUGCUGUAAAAAGGUAAGAGGAAGGUGGCUUCAAUUUCGGUUGAAGUGUUUAUAGCCUUUUAUCUCUGCAGUCGGGGAGAUUGAGGUCUGCAGCGUAGAUCCUUCGGGGCUAGAUACAUUUAUGCUAAGUUAUAGCUUUUCAUAGACAACUUGUUGACUAUGUUUAGUCAUGUAGCUUACUCGUAAGUGCUAUUUUACCUACGCUUAGGAUGUUGAGCGCAUGUCUCUCUCU